CGAAAGGAUGACCUAGUUAUCUAUAAAGGUGAAAUCAUUAAUGAUAUUUAUUAACUAAGUAUAUAUUAAUUAUUUCUUUAAUUAUUGUAUGCUAUAAUAAUAAAUAUAUUAACUAUGAUUAUUUGUAUAAAAAUAAAACCUAAGGAUAGUGAUAAUAAUGAUAGUAACUACAAAUGUAAUUAGAUAUAUUUAUUAUAUUUUAAUUAUUUUACAUAAAUAAAUGUAAAUGAGCACACUCCAAUUAUGUAAAUAAGAAGAUUGUGUUUCCUUAUAGUCCCAGCCAAGAUUCGUGCCAGCAGCUUCGGUUAGACGGAGGGGGCGAGUGCUAGUUAUAAUGGCUUAAAGAGUCCGUAGUAUGGAUUAUAAUAUAAUAAUUAAUUAUAUUAAUAAGAUCUAGAGUUAUAUCUAUAAAUAAUAAGGGUACUGUAAUAGUAGUGAUGAUAUACUAUAAUAAUUAUAUGACCAUUAAUCAUGAAAAUUCUUAUUAUAAUAUAACUGACAUUCAUAGGACGAAGGCUAUAGUAGUAAUAUGGAUUCGAUACCCAAGUAAUUAUAGCAGUAAACUAUGAGUACACUAAUGAGUAAUAAAUAUAAAUUACCAUAUAGAAGUGAAAGCUUAAAAGUAUUCCGCCUGGUGAGUAUGUUCGCAAGAAUGAAAACCAAUACAAUAGACGGUUACAACCAAUAGCAGUGGANCAU
rnacentral:rRNA from 1 species